CCUACGGGAGGCUGCAGUGGGGAAUAUUGGACAAUGGGGGGAACCCUGAUCCAGCCAUGCCGCGUGUGUGAAGAAGGCCCUCGGGUUGUAAAGCACUUUCAGUGAGGAAGAACGCCUGGUGGUUAAUACCCAUCAGGAAAGACAUCACUCACAGAAGAAGCACCGGCUAACUCCGUGCCAGCAGCCGCGGUAAUACGGAGGGUGCGAGCGUUAAUCGGAAUUACUGGGCGUAAAGCGCGCGUAGGUGGCUUGAUAAGCCGGUUGUGAAAGCCCCGGGCUCAACCUGGGAACGGCAUCCGGAACUGUCAAGCUAGAGUGCAGGAGAGGAAGGUAGAAUUCCCGGUGUAGCGGUGAAAUGCGUAGAGAUCGGGAGGAAUACCAGUGGCGAAGGCGGCCUUCUGGACUGACACUGACACUGAGGUGCGAAAGCGUGGGUAGCAAACAGGAUUAGAUCCCCUGUAGUC
rnacentral:rRNA from 1 species